UACGGAGGGGGCUAGCGUUGUUCGGAAUUACUGGGCGUAAAGCGCACGUAGGCGGCCUGUUAAGUCGGGGGUGAAAUCCUGGGGCUCAACCUCAGAAUUGCCUCCGAUACUGGCAGUCUCGAGUGCGGGAGAGGUGAGUGGAAUUCCCAGUGUAGAGGUGAAAUUCGUAGAUAUUAGGAAGAACACCGGUGGCGAAGGCGGCCCACUGGUCCGGUACUGACGCUGAGGUGCGAAAGCGUGGGGAGCAAACAGG
rnacentral:rRNA from 1 species